GUUUAUAACUGGCACGGGCGUAGGAGUUUUCUCCACGCCCGUGCACGCAUGUUAGGGGCAGAACAAAG
rnacentral:sRNA from 1 species